ACGUGAGUAACCUGCCCCAGACUCUGGAAUAACCCCGGGAAACCGGAGCUAAUACCGGAUAAUUUCUUUUCUCGCAUGAGGGAAGAUGGAAAGAUGGUUCUGCUAUCACUUACAGAUGGACCCGCGGCGCAUUAGCUAGUUGGUGAGGUAACGGCUCACCAAGGCGACGAUGCGUAGCCGACCUGAGAGGGUGAUCGGCCACACUGGGACUGAGACACGGCCCAGACUCCUACGGGAGGCAGCAGUAGGGAAUCUUCCGCAAUGGACGAAAGUCUGACGGAGCAACGCCGCGUGAGCGAAGAAGGUCUUCGGAUUGUAAAGUUCUGUUGUUAGGGACGAAACCGUACCGUUCGAAUAGGGCGGUACCUUGACGGUACCUAACGAGAAAGCCACGGCUAACUACGUGCCAGCAGCCGCGGUAAUA
rnacentral:rRNA from 1 species